rnacentral:tRNA from 1 species
GGUAGGUAGUAUAGUAAGGCUAAUAUGUUGGGCUUUUAACCCGAAAACCGGGGGUUCAAAUCCCUCCCUUCCC